CUUCACUGUACAUAGUUUGCACCAAGAAUAAAGCCUGGAAAAGACAGAACCCACCCACCACCUCAAUCAAGUGAUCAUGAGAUUUCUACUCAGGGAGGGAUACUCGACAGACGAAGAGGUCACCCUCCGAAUCGCCUAGUGGUUUAAGGCUGAAGUGUGCUGUGUUACCAGUGCUUGCACUUAUGAUGCCGGAGGUGUUAUCUGAUUGGCCACCUGCCUCCCACGUAAUCGUCAUGCCUACGGGGACAAAGUCAUUGACAGUGCACACCAAUAUUGCACCUAAGGGAACAAAAUAGAUAGACAGACAGAUGAAAUUCCUGGUUUUUUAAUGACUUUAUAUUACUGUUUUUAUGGUUUUUCUGAUAUUGCUUUACAGUUUUUAUGUUGCUUAGUGCACUAUUUAAGAUGUAAGCAGCUUAGAAACCUCUACUUUUCAUCUCUGUGCUUCCAGUCUUGCUUUUGUCUGCCCUUUGUUCUUCUCUACACCCUGUGAUUUUCCUUCUCUCUGACCCUCUUUCCCAUGCAUAUUCUCUUUUCGUGGAAUCAUAGAAUUCCAGAAUUGGAAGGGACCCCAAUGCUCAUCUAGUCCAACCCCCUGUAAUGUUGCUUACUUACUUCAUCAAAACUUUCUAGGCAUUACAAAUAUAGGGCAUCCUAAAACAUUUAACAUAUAUACAAAUAAACAGCCAUGUAAAAUAUAUAAUGAUGAGGAAUUUCAUUGGGAUUCCUUCCUGCUAAAUAGUGCCAUUUAGCACUCCAAGAGAUACUAUUAACAAAACCUCAGCCCCCCUUGCAGUUAAUUCCGGGUUAAUCGGAAAUUUUCAUUGUGCCGUGAUGUUAGACUACCCCAAAAAGGGGGGCAGCAUGUGUUUGCGUAGCAGGUUGUAAAAUGGACAGUAGAAAAGGAUAUGUUCUACAGUAUUUGGCACAUUCAAAGAACAUCCACAAUGUCUAUCAUUUCUGGGGAUGUUUAAAAAUCUGCCCUUGACAAAAGCUGAAGGAAAAACAUUCAGUCGGGCUACGAUAAAGGUCCUGAGUUGUACAGAAAUUAUUAUUUUCGAGAUAUGUGACCCUGUUAUCUUGGGGGAGCAAAUUUUAUUUACACCUGACUUGA